GUCCGCGUAGCACAGUGGUAGUGCGCUUGACUACGAUUUCUAUAUUCUGGAUCCGAAUCAAGAGGUCGCGAUUUCGAAUAUCGCCGUGGAUU
rnacentral:tRNA from 5 species